rnacentral:rRNA from 1 species
UACGGGGGUGCAGCGUUGUUCGGAAUUAUUGGCGUAAAGAGCGUGUAGGCGGCGGAAUAAGUCAGAUGUGAAAGCCCUGGGCUUAACCCAGGAAGUGCAUUUGAUACUGUUUUGCUUGAGUACUGGAGAGGGAAGAGGAAUUCCUGGUGUAGAGGUGAAAUUCGUAGAUAUCAGGAGGAAUACCGGUGGCGAAGGCGACUUUCUGGACGAAUACUGACGCUGAGGCGCGAAAGCGU